rnacentral:rRNA from 1 species
GAUGAACGCUGGCGGCGUGCCUAAUACAUGCAAGUCGAGCGAACAGACGAGGAGCUUGCUCCUCUGACGUUAGCGGCGGACGGGUGAGUAACACGUGGAUAACCUACCUAUAAAACUGGGAUAACUUCGGGAAACCGGAGCUAAUACCGGAUAAUAUAUUGAACCGCAUGGUUCAAUAGUGAAAGACGGUUUUGCUGUCACUUAUAGAUGGAUCCGCGCCGCAUUAGCUAGUUGGUAAGGUAACGGCUUACCGAGGCAACGAUGCGUAGCCGACCUGAGAGGGUGAUCGGCCACACUGGAACUGAGACACGGUCCAGACUCCUACGGGAGGCAGCAGUAGGGAAUCUUCCGCAAUGGGCGAAAGCCUGACGGAGCAACGCCGCGUGAGUGAUGAAGGUCUUCGGAUCGUAAAACUCUGUUAUUAGGGAAGAACAAAUGUGUAAGUAACUAUGCACGUCUUGACGGUACCUAAUCAGAAAGCCACGGCUAACUACGUG